rnacentral:rRNA from 1 species
UACGUAGGGUGCAAGCGUUGUCCGGAAUUAUUGGGCGUAAAGAGCUCGUAGGCGGUCUGUCGCGUCGGCUGUGAAAACUCGGGGCUCAACUCCGAGCUUGCAGUCGAUACGGGCAGGCUAGAGUUCGGCAGGGGAGACUGGAAUUCCGUGGUGUAGCGGUGAAAUGCGCAGAUAUCAGGAGGAACACCGGUGGCGAAGGCGGGUCUCUGG